rnacentral:snoRNA from 1 species
GUGGUGCAGUGAUGAUUAAAUCCAGUAAAUGCCAGUUCUGCUACUGACAUUUUUUGAUGAGAAUGCUGGACGCAUUAUCUGAGCACCAU